ACACGACCGUACCGCAAACCGACACUGGUGCGCGAGAUGAGUAUUCUAAGGCGCUUGAGAGAACUCAGGAGAAGGAACUCGGCAAAUUGACACCGUAACUUCGGAAGAAGGUGUGCCUUUAGUAGGUGAACCUGUACAAGGGGAGCCCAAUGAGGUUGCAAAAAAUCGGUGGCUGCGACUGUUUAAUAAAAACACAGCACUCUGCAAACACGAAAGUGGACGUAUAGGGUGUGACGCCUGCCCGGUGCUGGAAGAUUAAAUGAUGGGGUGCAAGCUCUUGAUUGAAGUCCCAGUAAACGGCGGCCGUAACAAUAACGGUCCUAAGGUAGCGAAAUUCCUUGUCGGGUAAGUUCCGACCUGCACGAAUGGCGUAACGAUGGCCACACUGUCUCCUCCUGAGACUCAGCGAAGUUGAAAUGUUUGUGAUGAUGCAAUCUCCCCGCGGAAAGACGGAAAGACCCCAUGAACCUUUACUGUAGCUUUGUAUUGGACUUUGAACAGAUCUGUGUAGGAUAGGUGGGAGGCUUUGAAGUGUGGUCGCUAGAUCGCAUGGAGCCAACGUUGAAAUACCACCCUGGUGUGUUUGAGGUUCUAACCUAGGCCCGUAAUCCGGGUCGGGGACAGUGCAUGGUAGGCAGUUUGACUGGGCGGUCUCCUCCCAAAGCGUAACGGAGGAGUUCGAAGGUACGCUAGGUACGGUCGGACAUCGUGCUAAUAGUGCAAUGGCAUAAGCGUGCUUAACUGCGAGACUGACAAGUCGAGCAGAUGCGAAAGCAGGACAUAGUGAUCCGGUGGUUCUGUAUGGAAGGGCCAUCGCUCAACGGAUAAAAGGUACUCUGGGGAUAACAGGCUGAUACCGCCCAAGAGUUCAUAUCGACGGCGGUGUUUGGCACCUCGAUGUCGGCUCAUCUCAUCCUGGGGCUGUAGCCGGUCCCAAGGGUAUGGCUGUUCGCCAUUUAAAGAGGUACGUGAGCUGGGUUUAAAACGUCGUGAGACAGUUUGGUCCCUAUCUUCCGUGGGCGCUGCAGAUUUGAGGAAGCCUGCUCCUAGUACGAGAGGACCGGAGUGGACACACCUCUGGUGUAUCGGUUGUCACGCCAGUGGCAUUGCCGAGUAGCUAUGUGUGGAAGAGAUAACCGCUGAAAGCAUCUAAGCGGGAAACUCGUUUCAAGAUGAGAUCUGCCGGGGCCUUGAGCCCCCUAAAGAGUCGUUCAAGACCAGGACGUUGAUAGGUCGGGUGUGGAAGCGCAGUAAUGCGUUAAGCUAACCGAUACUAAUUGCUCGUGCGGCUUGACC
rnacentral:rRNA from 1 species